rnacentral:rRNA from 1 species
AAGAGCUCAAAGUUGGAAUCCGGUUGCCCUAGGUAAUUGGAAUUGUAAACUGGAGAGGUGUUUUCCAGGCGAGCCAAGCAAAUAAGUCCUUUGGAACAGGGCAUCAUAGAGGGUGAGAAUCCCGUCUUUGGCUUGAGCAUUGCCUUUUGCGAUACACUUUCAAAGAGUCAGGUUGUUUGGGAAUGCAGCCUAAAUUGGGUGGUAAAUCUCACCUAAAGCUAAAUAUUGGCGAGAGACCGAUAGCGAACAAGUACCGUGAGGGAAAGAUGAAAAGAACUUUGAAAAGAGAGUUAAACAGUAUGUGAAAUUGUUGAAAGGGAACCGUUUGGAGCCAGACCGGCUGCUCUAUAAUCAAUCUCUGCUUCGGUAGGGAUGCACUUGUAGGGCUUUAGCCUGCCAACAGCAAUUUUCUUUGGUGGAAAAAACUAGAAGGAAUGUGGCCCCUCGGGGUGUUAUAGCCUUUUAGAAAAUACACUGAAGGGGAUUGAGGACUGCAGCAAAUGCUUUUGGCGAAAUAACUAGGUGCUUGUGUUAAGGACGUAUAGAAUCUCUGCUUCGGGUGGUGCUAUGCUCUGCGAUGCAACUCGCUUAGACUAUUU